UACGGGGGGGGCAAGCGUUGUUCGGAAUUACUGGGCGUAAAGAGCGCGCAGGCGGUCGAGUAAGUCGAAUGUGAAAGCCCCCCGGCUCAACUGGGGAGGGUCAUUCGAUACUGUUCGACUUGAAGGCAGGAGAGGGCAGCAGAAUUCCCGGUGUAGUGGUGAAAUGCGUAGAUAUCAGGAGGAACACCGGUGGCGAAGGCGGAUCUCUGGGCCAUUACUGACGCUGAGGAGCGAAAGCGUGGGGAGCGAACAGG
rnacentral:rRNA from 1 species